rnacentral:misc_RNA from 1 species
CAGAGCAUCAUGCCCCCCGGGGUAGAUCUCCCACCCUGUGUCUUUGUACCUUUGUUGCUUUGGCGGGCCGCCCUCGGCCACCGGCUCCGGCUGGUGCGCGCCCGCCAGAGGACUCCAAACUCUGAAUGUUAGUGUCGUCUGAGUACUAUAUAAUAGUUA